CAACCCUGGGCCUGUGUCACUGGCCCUGAAGACACACACUUGGCCUUGGUCACCGUCCUUCCAGGCACACCCUGGUCUUGGGUCACUGGGCAGAAGGCACAUGCUGGGCUUGGGUCACUGGUGCUGAUGGCAACGUUGGGCCCGAGUCACUGGCCCAGAAUACACACACUUACCCUUGGUCACUGGCCCUGAAUUAGCAGAUGGGCCUGGGUCACUGGCCCUAAAGAUACAAACUUGGUCUGUGUCACGGGCACUGAAGUCACACCCUUGGCCUGGGUCACUGGCACAGAAGGCACACCCUUGGCCUGUGUCAAUGGACAUUAAGACACACCCAGGGUCUUUGUCAGUGUGCUGAACGCACAUCCAUGGCCUGGGUCACUGGUCCUGAAGGCACACUCUUAGCCUUGGUCACUGGCCCUGAAGACACACGCUUGGCUUAGGUCAUGGGCACUGAAAGCAAAUGUGUGGUUUAGGUCAGUAGCCCUAAAAAUCACACACUUGGCCUUGGUCACUGUCCUUCCAGACACAACCUGGGCUUGGGUCACUGGGCAUAAGGCACACACUGGGUUUGGGUCACUGGCACUGA